rnacentral:lncRNA from 1 species
UUUCUGACCUUAGCCCUAAAAGCUAAAGGUUUCCUGCACACUUUUUGUAGAUUAUGACCAGGAUGUAGGAGAGCACCGUGGGAGGGUUCCGCUACUUGAGCUUGUCAGGGAUCACCCUGCUGCUGCCUCCUGCUCCGCUGUGGAUGGUUGUCUCUCCAAAACACCCGAGUCUGUUUUGGAAGAGCAGACAAGGGUUUGUGUGGAUCACCUCAUACAAAGAUCAGAGCCCAUGCACCUCCCAGAGCCACCAGCAGACCUGGACCAGGACCUCCAGCAACACCUGAGCCACCUGCAGGAGGCCGUAUGCAAUGAGCUCAUACGGCUGGCUCACGCUUUGGAGGCCAGGGGCCUGAUGGGGCAACAGGUAAACUUCAAUCACUGUCAGAUAUUCAAUCACCUGGACUGUCUGCUCCUGAAGGUCAGCUCCUUCAAGAAUUGCUUCAUCUUAAUGAACUGGGGCCUGAAAACCUAUUUGAGUCAGGAGAUGCUUGGUCACCCUGACCUUAGAGAAAUGGAUCCUAUAAAACAUGUGGACAUCCUGCUGCUCUCAGAAUGGGGGGUGAAGGCCAAGAACAAGCUGCUUGAAAAAGCACAGGAAGAGAUGAGAGUUCAACUGGAGAACAUCCUGCAGCAUCACAGACAGCAAGACGUCUGUGACGGCAACACAGACGAAGCCUUUGUUCAAACCUAUGUGGACGCUAUUGGGUGCAUCGCUGCCAUGCCUCGGAACGCACAACGCAUCAGCUCUAAACUGUCGUACGAAGUCAAAGAGGUUGGUUUCCAAGAGCUGUACAUAUUUGUGGAGAGGUACAGAGAAGAGCAGACCAAAGUUCUCAAGAAGAUGGAGAAAACAGACAAACUGGAGAUGAUACAGUUUUUCAAGACUUUGAAGACGUGUCAGGAACUCAAGAAGCACAUCCAGACUGAAGGAGAAGAAAUCAGUAGCUCGCUUUGUAAGGAAAUCUUGGAAAUGCUUAAAAAAAUAGAAGAUUUGACUCUAGAACUUCUGAGGGGCGUUGUAACAAAGGUGGCGAAGAAGCACCUUCAGCGUUACUUCCAGUCAGACAAACAGCAAUUUGUGCUGUUGAUUGAUUCAGUGAGUAGGAUGUUUCCACGUCUGGAGAACUGUGACCAAGUAUGACAAACAGUGACUCUUGAAGUCUGCAAGAUCCUCGUCCAUAGUUACAUCAAGUAUCUUCUAAAAACAAAGGUGAAGAAACUGCAGCGGUGCUGGAACCCUGAUGUCGGUGAAGCAGUGAGUAAAGAUGCUGGCUGGCUUCACGCCAUCAUGUCGGACCUGGUGAGCUCAACUUGUCCCUGUAGCAAAGCGAUGAACCUGAAAGCAGUGAUGGUAAAGUAGUCAUGGCAUGUGUUUUUGUGCCACGUCAGGCUCCCGGCGUGCAGGAGUGGAGCAAUAAGAUGAAGAAAAUCGAGGAGGUGCUGGACUGCAGCGACAUCAACGCUCUGAAACUGAUCGUUGCUGCAAUGCAGAAGGACAGUUUAAUAGCGAGGUACAGUAAAUGAUUCAAUCCUAGAAAUGCAGCAGACCUGUUAAGGAGUCCAGGUUUCAGUUUAUAUCAGUUGUGCUUUCCCUUCAUGGCAGUGAGGACCUGCACAGGCUGCUGCGAUGGAAGGGUCUUUCCAAACGGGACGUCAGGGAGGUGCUGGACGCCAUUUGUGACGACUACAACCCCGGAGCAUCAUCCAGAGCCUGGUGCUCAUGUCUGGGGAGCUGAAGAGGGUCCUUCUCAGAUGAUCUCUGAUCUCAGAGAUCCUGUACGAACUCUCAGGACCUGAAGAAACACUUUUAGGUCCGACUCUGCUGCUACUGAGUAGUGUUGCCCUUCAGGUUGAGGUACACAGAAUUUUUUCAUAGACUUUAUCUAAAAAUCUGCUCGGCAUCUAUUCUGGAUCUUAUUUAUUGUUGGUGAUUGGUCCGUUUACUGCUCUUAAUGUAUUGGCUUGUACAUUUGUACAUGCUGCCUUUUUGUAGUGUUUGUACUCGUACAAAGCUGUUCGAGCACUUGGAGGUUCUUACGUCAUGUUAAUAGUUUUAAUAGGUUUUUUAUGUAUCUAUUUUUAUGUUUUUCACCACAGACAGAUCCUCUACUAUAAGAGCUGCCUUUUGUGCUGUUGAGUUUCCAUUAGUGUAAUUUACUAAAUUGUUUAAUGUUGACUUUUGGUUUUAAUGAUUUACAGUCUCUCUUUAAAGUAUAUAGUUCUGCUUUGCCCACGACCCAGAAUGGGGAAAAAAAUGGAUGAAUGGAUGAUCUGCUUAGGUGAAUUUCAUUUACUUCUGUAAUCAUUUAUAAUCCAUCCUUGGAUUUUUAGUUACUAGGAAGCAACUUACACUUUUCUUUUUCCGUCGUCAGUGUAAUGAAGAAAGCCUGAUUUUAUUAAGUGUGUGUGUGUGUCUCUAUUGUAUUGUUAACAAUCUAUCAGCAGAGGAGGGGAGGCUGGUGAAAGUGGGUAGAGCUUUUAGCUUGUUAGCUAACACUGUGGAAGUGGGAAGAUCGCAGGUUUUCUGGUUAUCUUUGUCCACAAUACUGAUUUUGAGUGCAUAAGUACACCCCAUUGAUGAGCUUAGCCGUAACCUAUAUAAAAACAAAGUCACAAUCAGGGGAUAUGCAACGUUUACUCUUUUUACUGAACAGUAUCAAAACAGCGUUACAUUGCAUUCGCUAACGCUAACAGUCUUAGCUUGUCUGCAUUCACCACCACUGCCGCCUAGUGUCCCAUUAAGUAAUUACGUCUAAACCUUUCCUACGUCAUAUGGUCAAUAUCUCAAUAACCUCUCAUUUCUGCUUUAUAUUUCUUCAAGCUCAUUUGACCGUCAACUACAGAAUGAACUAUCACCACUGACAGCAAAAUACCACGCCUCUAGCUCAUGCCUUAACACAUGUCCAUCCACAUGUACAUCCUAAUUUAAUAUACAGUUGAUCUAUCUGAGAGAUCGCCUAAACAUGACCAAAUAUGUCAGCAAACAUACAAAAACCUAAAUAUAUAUAUACUGUGUAUAUAUAAAAUACACAGUAACAACAUGGGAUCCUCUUGCUAUUUAAAAAAGACGGGAGACGUACAGCACGGUACGUUGUCGAUGCUAGGCUGAAAUUACGUCACUUUAAAACAUCGACUUUAUAAAUACAUUGCUCAAAAAAAUAAAAGGGAACGCUUAAACA